rnacentral:rRNA from 1 species
GCUGUGGAUAGGGGUGAAAGGCUAAACAAAAUCCGGAAAUAGCUGGUUCUCCCCGAAAACUAUUUAGGUAGUGCGUCGUACGGACACUUGCGGGGGUAGAGCACUGUUAAGGCUAGGGGGUCAUCCCGACUUACCAACCCUUUGCAAACUCCGAAUACCCAUGAGUAGAGCACGGGAGACAGACAUCGGGUGCUAACGUCCGGUGUCAAAAGGGAAACAACCCAGACCAUCAGCUAAGGUCCCAAAGUUAUAGUUAAGUGGGAAACGAUGUGGGAAGGCAUAGACAGCUAGGAGGUUGGCUUAGAAGCAGCCAUCCUUUAAAGAAAGCGUAAUAGCUCACUAAGUCGAGUCGGCCUGCGCGGAAGAUAUAACGGGGCUAAAACUAUACACCGAAGCUAUGGAUUCAUACUUUGUAUGAGUGGUAGAGGAGCGUUCUGUAAGCCGUUGAAGGUAAAGGCGAGAGCCAUGCUGGAGGUAUC